ACUCUCCGCCCUCCCCCUCCGAGGCGGGCGGGAACCGCGGGUCCUCUUAGCCCGCAGCUUCCGCCUGUCGCCGCACGGUCCUACAAGUCGAUACGGCGUUUCCUCUGUCAGGCCCUAGGGGAGCUCGCUUGCUCUGUGGAGGGUUGUAUGGCAGAAGAGCCGGCGGAGGGCCACGUGGCAGAGGAACCCUGGGUGGUUAUUGAGAGGAUGCCAGGGCUGCAGCCAUCUUAGAGAAGGUAAGAAUGGGGGCAGCAGGCCCUGGGAAACCCACCAGAGGAUGUGCUGCCCCUAGACAAUAAAGAGCCACAUAAAAAAACGAGUUCCAGACAUUUCCUGCCAUAACCUAAAGGAUAUGAUAGAUUAUAUACUAUAGGUAUCAAAGGGAGCAAGUUUACUGCAGAUAAGAAAUGGGAUGUCUUAUUGUCAGAGAAAUGGGUCUGCUGAUGAUAUUGAGUGCUAAAAGAUAAGGCAAUUCCCUUGAAGCUGCAACUCUCCAAUCAGUUCAAACCAAGCAUCUCUAACCUAAGCAAGAUCAGAGCAUCAUGCAUAAAUAGAGAAAAAUGGUAGCUAAGAAGAGAAGGAGCUUUGGAUGGAGAAAUAUAAAUAACAAACUAAAAGAAGAGUGGAAAUAUGGGAGUCGUCUCUACAGAGGGUGUUGUCCUUACUCACAUGGUCUGAGUUCCAGUCUGUGGGAAGGGAGAAAGUAGGACUGAAGGACAAAAAAUUUUCUUUCAAGUAAUUGAUGUGGAAGCUGUGCAUCUCAUGAUUCAAUGGAACCCUGGAAAAGGUGGGAGCUGGCCUCCCACAAUGGAUAAAUGACUCAGUGUCUAAGAGCACUUGCUGCUCUUGCAGAAAAUUUGGGUGGAGCAUAUCACUUAGAGAAAACAGUACACAUACAUCCCAGGAUGACUCCAGAGGACAACUGACUUCUCAGAGGCCCUUUGAGAACAGUAUCUUGCCAUCUCCUGAGGAUUCAGCAAGCAGCUACAGGACCAUGUGGGACCGGAGAAACUUAUGCUACAAGAAUGCAUAAAGGAAAUGUGGCAUAUUUACACAAUGCAGUAUUACUCAGCUGUUAAAAACAAUGACAUCAGGAAAUUUGAGGGCAAAUGGAUGGAACUAGAAACAGUCAUCCUGAGUGAGGUCAGAUAGAAACCUGGUGCAAGUGAAGCUCCCACAAAUCUACAAGGAUGACCCAGCUAAGACUCCUAAUAAUAAUGGAUAGGUAGCCUGAACUGACCAUCUCCUGUAAUCAGGUUGGUGACUACCCACCCCAAUUGUCACCAGAUAGCUUUCAUCCAGUAACUGAUAGAAACAAAUGCAGAGACCCACAACUAAGCACUGGGCUGAGCUCAAAGGAUCCUGAUGAAGAGAGGGAGGAAGGAUUGUACAAGCCAGGGGGGGUCAAGAUCAUCACAAGAGAACCCACAGAAACAUCUAACCUGGACUUAUAGGAGGUUAUAGUCUGGACUGACAGCUAGGGAGCCUACAUGGGAUUGACCUAGGCCCUCUACAUAUGUGUGACAGUUGGGUAGCUUGGUGUAUUGUGGGACUCCUAGCAGUGGGAGCAGGGCUGUCCCUAAUGCUUUGGCUGGCUUUGGGGAACCUACUCCUCAUACUGAAUUGCCUUGACCAGUCUUAAUACAAGGGGAGGAGCUUAGUCCUACCUCAACUUGAUAUGCCAUGCAUUGUUGAUACCCAAGGGAGGCCUGCCCUUUUCUGAACAGAAACAGAGGAGGAAUAAACUGGGGGGAGGAGCAUGGAGUGGAAGUGGGGGAGGGAAUGGAAAGAGAGGAGGGAGGGGAAACUGCAGUCAGGAUGUAAAAUAAAUGAAUAAAUUUAAUUUAAAAAAGUGUAUCAGGAGCCAUCAAAAUGUUCCAAAAAUGUGUCUGAAAAAUAUUUCUCUGGUGGCCUAGCACCAAGUCAGUUCUCAUCUCCUUUCUUGCUUGUAGUUCUCAAAAAUAAGCAUGGAAUAUUAUGGAAGACAAUACAGGGAUGAAACUAUCCAAGACAGCCUGGGCCUGAUCCUUUCAUCCUAUGGAAUGUAGCACCUUGAGUCAGAGAAGCACUGCCCAGACAAAACAGACCUUUGUUCUCUCCUCUGGGAGCAAGAUGUCAUUUAAAGUUUUGAUAUGGGUUCCUAAGUAGUUUAAUUACAGGGGGUAUGCUUGGUAUAUAUAAGGUCCUGGGUCCCAGCACCAAAACCAAAACAGAACCAAUGAACCAAACAAAUAAACACCCUUGCCUAGUGAUUCAUGAUGUGCCUAGGGUAUACACUUUGGGUAGGCUGCCUUUUCCAGUUCUUUAACUAUGGAGCCAGUGGUACAUGGUCUGUCAAUAAUCUACCCAAAUGUUGUGUAAAGUUUCUUCCAAUAGUGAAACAUUCCAUCCAUCAGGGAAGCUCCCUGUGAUGGCUAUUCUUUGUAUCAACUUGACUAUAUCUGGAAUUAACUUAAACCUAGGCAGCUGGGUACACUUCUGAGGGGAUUUUUCUUAAUUAAAUUAUUUAAAGUGGGAAGACCCACCCUAAAUCCAGAUCUUUUGAGGUGAGAUCUACCUUAAUUCUGAGCUCCGCCUUCUGCUGGCAGCCUAUAUCUUUUGCCUGUAUGUCCUUUGUUCUGUCAAGCUCAUUCCUUCACUAGCAUAGGAGCCUACUUCUUCAGGAUUCCAGAGGAUUACAUUCUUUUUUUUUUGUUUCUUUUUUUUUUAAGAUUACAUUCUUAAUGCUAGCCACCAAGGCCUAUUCCUUUAUUUGGCCACUUCCUCCUCCUGGGGCUGACUACUAAAGUCCAGCUAUCAAAGUAUUAAAGUCUAGCAAUCAAAAGCCGCCAUUUGGCUACCCUAAUUAACAUGCCCAAUCAAAAUUAAACACCUCAUCCUAACAUGGGGUUUCCCCUUUUACCUUUAUAAGCUGCCAUUUGCCUAUGGGUCACAUCUGCCCUCUCUAUCCAUAGGCAGUCCUUUGUCCCUUCAGGACAAAUAUCCCUUCCUCCUGCCCCUUGUCCUCUAUGUUCUGCCCUUUGUCCCUCUGGGACAAAUAAAUAUCUGUUGUGCUGAGAA